rnacentral:snoRNA from 1 species
GGAUUUUCCUCAAGAGGGUUCUGAUGGUGUGUGAAAGCACAACAUCUUAAUGCUAUGACCAAAAAAGUGAGCUUUUCAUCAGGAUGAUAUUGCUACCUGACAGUGCUGUGUUUUUCUGGGAUGAUAUAGUU